GGCAUAUAUGCCCAGCUCAAUCUACCACGACUCGCACAAUCUCCUAAUGGGCCUGGUGUAGCCGGAUGGUAUCUCGAUACAAAGAUGCUGUUCCAGAUGCUCGCAUCUCCAAUGCUCUAGAGUGAGGUUUUUCGAUGGACCUUAUCCUCGCCUUACUACUAGUGGAGACUGGCCUGAAACAAUAAGAAAUAAAUCAUUAAUAUGAUAGCUAUCCAAAUAAAAAAAUUAAAUUUAAUUAUAUAAAAAGUAUAAUAAUACCACUC
rnacentral:lncRNA from 1 species